rnacentral:tRNA from 1 species
UCCAUGGUGGCUCAGAUGGUAAAGCAUCUGCCUGCAAUGUGGAAGACCCAGGUUCAAUCCCUGGGUCAGGAA